UAAAACAGGCACAGGCUCACA
rnacentral:misc_RNA from 1 species